rnacentral:rRNA from 1 species
GACAGAGGUGCCGAGCGUUAGGCGGAAUCACUGGGCUUAAAGCGUGUGUAGGUGGAUGUCUAAGUACCUUGUGAAAUCCCACGGCUUAACCGUGGAACGGCUCGGUAUACUGGAUGUCUUGAGCCAGCUAGGGGCUACCGGAACAAAUGGUGGAGCAGUGAAAUGCGUAGAUAUCAUUUGGAACGCCAAUGGUGAAAACAGGUAGCUGGGGCUGUGCUGACACUGAGACACGAAAGCCAGGGGAGCGAACGGG